rfam:Oryza rufipogon genomic scaffold, chr01
AAUAAGUGUAGUUUUACACUAUUUACGUUUAACAUUUGACCGUUCGUCUUAUUUGAAAUUUUUUUAUGAUUAGUAUUUUUAUUGCUAUUAGAUGAUAAAACAUUAAUAAUACUUUAUAUGCGACUAAAUAUUUUCAAAUUUUUUAUAAAUUUUUCAAAUAAGACGAACGGUAAAACGUUAGGCACAGAUAUUCACGACUGCAUUUAUU